GGGGCGGUCUCCUCCUAAAGAGUAACGGAGGAGCACGAAGGUUGGCUAAUCCUGGUCGGACAUCAGGAGGUUAGUGCAAUGGCAUAAGCCAGCUUGACUGCGAGCGUGACGGCGCGAGCAGGUGCGAAAGCAGGUCAUAGUGAUCCGGUGGUUCUGAAUGGAAGGGCCAUCGCUCAACGGAUAAAAGGUACUCCGGGGAUAACAGGCUGAUACCGCCCAAGAGUUCAUAUCGACGGCGGUGUUUGGCACCUCGAUGUCGGCUCAUCACAUCCUGGGGCUGAAGUAGGUCCCAAGGGUAUGGCUGUUCGCCAUUUAAAGUGGUACGCGAGCUGGGUUUAGAACGUCGUGAGACAGUUCGGUCCCUAUCUGCCGUGGGCGCUGGAGAACUGAGGGGGGCUGCUCCUAGUACGAGAGGACCGGAGUGGACGCAUCACUGGUGUUCGGGUUGUCAUGCCAAUGGCACUGCCCGGUAGCUAAAUGCGGAAGAGAUAAGUGCUGAAAGCAUCUAAGCACGAAACUUGCCCCGAGAUGAGUUCUCCCUGACUCCUUGAGAGUCCUGAAGGAACGUUGAAGACGACGACGUUGAUAGGCCGGGUGUGUAAGCGCAGCGAUGCGUUGAGCUAACCGGUACUAAUGAACCGUGAGGCUUAACCUUACAACGCCGAAGGUGUUU
rnacentral:rRNA from 1 species